GACUUUGUGGCGCAAUGGUAGCGCAUCUGGCUCCAGUCCAGAAGGUUGCGUGUUCAAAUCACGUCAAGGUCA
rnacentral:tRNA from 1 species